rnacentral:rRNA from 1 species
UACGUAGGGGGCAAGCGUUGUCCGGAAUCAUUGGGCGUAAAGAGCGUGUAGGCGGUCCGAUAAGUCGGCUGUGAAAGUCAAGGGCUCAACCCUUGAAUGCCGGCCGAUACUGUCGGGCUAGAGUCCGGAAGAGGCGAGUGGAAUUCCUGGUGUAGCGGUGAAAUGCGCAGAUAUCAGGAGGAACACCAAUGGCGAAGGCAGCUCGCUGGGACGGUACUGACGCUGAGGCGCGAAAGCGUGGGGAGCGAACAGG